GACAACCUAAAUGAUGAUACUUUUUGUUGUGUAUUUGUUACUGCGUUUGUAAUUUUUUUCACGGGGCGGAUGCUGGAAUGAUACAUUUUGUUUUAUGCAGCUACUCUAGACAGACAGCUAAUAUCUUUUCCAGUUCAGUUAUUCAUAGCUCAGCAUUGCUGUAGAAAGAAGUCAUUUCAUUCCUUUUACUGUGGAGAAAGGAAAGAAUUUGUGCUGCUCUUCACCGUUGAGCUGGAACAGCCUGUGUCGAAUGCCCAUUUGCAAAACUACACUGGGGGAGAAUUUUUACUCUCUCUGCUUUCUGACCUCCCCAUAGACAUCACUGUCAAGUACUAGCAUUAAAAACUCUAUUCAGCCCUGGAGAAGGAAAUGGUAACCCACUCCAAUAUUCUUGUCUGGAAAAGUCCAUGGACAAAGAAGCCUGGUGGGCUGCGGUCCAUGGGGUUACAUGACUGAGCAUGUACAUGAGGGUGGAGGGAGAUGGGUUGGUAGUAAUAAACUGAUAGAACUAAAAAAACCAAAAAACAAACAAACAAAACCCUCUAUUGAGGCUUUCUACAAAGAUGCUAGAGAAGAAAAGAGGGGUGUAGGUGCCCAGCACUUGGAGUAGGCUGAGCCUUAUCCCUGUUGACCAGGUCACCAAGACUAACAUGAUGCAGAGUUUACAGAACAGGUUCUAGUAGGGCAGUCAGAGUUUUCCCCAGGGAGGAAAUGCCUUUCCUUAGAGCCCUGGGGCUUCUGCAUACUGCACUGAGAAGAUGUAAUCCAUUUUGGCUGGCUGAGCUGGGAUACUCUCUGUUCUCAAUUAAAUCAAUUAUCUGAGUAAUCUUCAUAAUUAAUGGCAGAAGACUUGAGCUGUCAGGACUGGCUGGAGCAAAAAUAUUUGGGCGUGUGGGUUAAGCCGCAGUUGUUCGGUGGGUGUCUGAGGCUGGGGCAGGGAAGGGGGCCGAUUGCAUGCUGCGGGCAACUUUUUGAAUUAGCAGUGGGCUCUAACUAGACGGCAGAGAGCAUUUUCACUUAGAAGUCAGGAGAUAAUGUUCCUGUUCAGUCUCUGGCACUAGUAAGCUGCGACACAUUGAGCAAGAUUCUUUACCUUGGAAUGACUUAUCUUUACUUCUGCAAAAUGAGGAGUAACAUCAGAUGGAUUUUGUUAGCAUGUGCAAAGCAAAUGCUGAAUAUCAGGCACUGUAGUAAGCAUUAUAUCAUUUAAUCCCCAUAACCAAACUUUUAUGAAAACAAGGAACAGAGAAGAUAAGUAACUUACCCAAGAUCACACAGCUAGUAAUUUUCAAAGAUGAGUUCUAAGCUCCCUCCCUGCUGUGAUUUUAAUGGCCAUUCCUGAGAGUCAAGUGGAAAUCUCUGUGUCCCAAUUAAGGCUUAAGUUAAUUCAGAUUCUUGCUACACAAAGUUCAUAGAUUAACAGCAUGAGUAUCACCUGUAAUCCCACUGGAAAUCUGCAAUCUCAGAUCCCACAUCAAACUUAUUAUACCGAACUGGCAUUUUAAAUUAGAUGCUUAUGAAAGAUUGAGAGGCACUGAUCUAAGGCUGGCCACAGGUCAGUCAGACUAGAACCACUGCAAGGAAUUUCUGAUUUCUGUCUCCUCUGCUAAGGUCUGAAGGCCCUAG
ensembl:lncRNA